rnacentral:rRNA from 1 species
GCUCCUACGGGACGCAGCAGUGAGGAAUAUUGGUCAAUGGCCGGGAGGCUGAACCAGCCAAGUCGCGUGAGGGAAGACGGCCCUACGGGUUGUAAACCUCUUUUGUCAGGGAGCAAGGGGCGGGUCGAGACCUGCUGUGAGAGUACCUGAAGAAAAAGCAUCGGCUAACUCCGUGCCAGCAGCCGCGGUAAUACGGAGGAUGCGAGCGUUAUCCGGAUUUAUUGGGUUUAAAGGGUGCGCAGGCGGAGGCACAAGUCAGCGGUAAAAGCCCGGGGCUCAACCCCGGCGAGCCGUUGAAACUGGCG